ACGAACGCUGGCGGCGUGCUUAACACAUGCAAGUCGAACGAGAAUCUGUGGAUCGAGGAUUCGUCCAAGUGAAGCAGAGGACAGUGGCGGACGGGUGAGUAACGCGUGAGGAACCUGCCUUUCAGAGGGGGACAACAGUUGGAAACGACUGCUAAUACCGCAUGAUACGUUUUAGGGGCAUCCCUGAGACGUCAAAGAUUUAUCGCUGAAAGAUGGCCUCGCGUCUGAUUAGCUAGUUGGUGAGGUAACGGCCCACCAAGGCGACGAUCAGUAGCCGGACUGAGAGGUUGACCGGCCACAUUGGGACUGAGAUACGGCCCAGACUCCUACGGGAGGCAGCAGUGGGGAAUAUUGGGCAAUGGGCGCAAGCCUGACCCAGCAACGCCGCGUGAAGGAAGAAGGCUUUCGGGUUGUAAACUUCUUUUAAGAGGGAAGAGCAGAAGACUGUACCUCUAGAAUAAGCCACGGCUAACUACGUGCCAGCAGCCGCGGUAAUACGUAGGUGGCAAGCGUUGUCCGGAUUUACUGGGUGUAAAGGGCGUGCAGCCGGGAAUGCAAGUCAGAUGUGAAAUCCAUGGGCUUAACCCAUGAACUGCAUUUGAAACUGUAUUUCUUGAGUACUGGAGAGGCAAUCGGAAUUCCUAGUGUAGCGGUGAAAUGCGUAGAUAUUAGGAGGAACACCAGUGGCGAAGGCGGAUUGCUGGACAGCAACUGACGGUGAGGCGCGAAAGUGUGGGGAGCAAACAGGAUUAGAUACCCUGGUAGUCCACACUGUAAACGAUGAAUACUAGGUGUGCGGGGACUGACCCCCUGCGUGCCGCAGUUAACACAAUAAGUAUUCCACCUGGGGAGUACGAUCGCAAGGUUGCAACUC
rnacentral:rRNA from 1 species